CUGCUUUGUCCCAGAGCCAGCCAAACCCAGACUCCUAAGAGCAACUUUGUGUCCUUGUAAAUAGCUACCAGGGACUUCAACCUAAACUUGGCUCUCCUUGAUCACUGUACCCAUCAAAUAAACCAAGAUAUUUACAGACCAAGAUCCUUACAGGGGAUCCAGAAAGGAAACAGACUUCCAAACCAGCACUGACAAAAAACAUUUUAACAGUGAAGACCGAUGAUUCUCUUUGUUGUGGCAACUGGGAUUUGGUCAUAAUCAAGAAGACAGACAGCAGAUGCAGUUGCAAGUUGUUUAGCCGUGUUUCUUGCUAAAUUUCUGUGCCAUCAAUGGCUGAGUUGAAGAUCCCUCUCAUUUGCCGGGUGCCAAGAAAGAUGAACAGACCGGGCAAUAGAAAAAUAGCCAAAGAAGGAUCCAGUGAUUUGAAAUUCCAGAACUUCGCUCUGCCGAAAAAUAGGUCAUGGCCCGGAAUCGACAGUGCCACAGGACAGUACCAGACUAUUAACGAGCCUCCUCUUGAUAGUGAAAGGAAUUCCAUAGCAGUCGUGGCUGGAGCAAAAGGCCACACAGAUGGUGACUAUGAAGACCCUGAGCUGCACAUGGGAGAAGACUGGCAAUCAGUGAAAAUCUUACCAGCCAGGCCUAUUAAGGAAUCUGAAUAUGCAGAUACACGCUAUUUCAAGGGUAUGAUGGACACACCACUGUCUUUAGAUUCCAAGACCUCUCUCCCCACAGACAGGCAAACCUGGAUGAAGCUGGAAAAAGUGGAAAAACCCAUUUCCAAGGAUAUCAGAAAACAUGAUAAAGGUAAAGUCAAAUCACGAAGUUUGAAAUAUAUCUGUAUAUUUUUAGAUUUUUCUCAAUGA
rnacentral:lncRNA from 1 species